rnacentral:tRNA from 1 species
AGGCCUCCUUCGGGAUUUGAACCCGGGACCUCUCGCACCCAAAGCGAGAAUCAUACCUCUAAACCAACGAGCC